UAAAAUUCAGUUACCAGGGCAAAAUAGACCGACAGGUUAGUUUGGCCAAUCAGCUGACAGCAGGUAGGCCCGCCCACCUGCUCCCGCGUCUCUGGGAGCGAGCGAAAGUUUUUUCCCGCUGCUGUGUGGAGACAGAAGUGCUGCUGUAGAGGAUGAAACCUGGAGAAAAUACAGCUGAAAACGAACUACACUGAGGCUAACUGUGGUAGCUAACUGUGAGAGUUUAGUUGUAGGUUCAGUGUUUAGAUGUAGCGCUUGAGAGACGACUAGCAGCGUCGGUAGCUUCAGUCUUUGCUGAUUCAAGAGCGAGACCUUGUGGCUUUACUGGGCGCCGCCAUUUCGUGAGCGUGUCCAGUCGCUCUGGUGAAAUCGGUCAGGUUUUUUGUGUGUGCAUGUUUCUUCUUCCAUUGUCUGGAUGGAUCUGCGGAUGAAAAUUGAUGGCGAGCCGUCCCUCUUGAAUGAUUGUGGGAGCCAUUCCCUCUUCAGGAUCACUGGACCUGUCCCGCUACUACUGCACUUUGCGGUGUGGUAGGCCC